AUGCUAAAUGCAAUCAAAGAAGAUAAUGGAGAACUAUCACCAACUGAGACAGUAUAGUAGAAAAAGUAGCUUCUAAGAGAAACUAUAUAGAUCAAAAGACCAAUUGAGGCUAAUGAGACCAAGCAAAGACAGAAGAUAUCUUGGCAAUACUAUCACAAGAAAUAAAGAAAGCAAUUAAAAAAUGAAAUGUAGAAAAGCCUCAAAAGAAGACAAUAUCAAGAUCAAACUUCUAAAAGAAAGAGAAGUACUAAUAUACAAGCAACUUACCUGGAUAUUCUCCAGCUCCAUACAAACAAGACAGAUAUCAGACAGGUGGAAACAUGCAGUUAUAGUGCCAAUACAUAAGAAGGAAAAAAGUAAAUAUGAAGAACUACAGGCCUGUCAGUCUACUGUUAACAAAAGGC
rnacentral:lncRNA from 1 species